UACUAGAGUAGCACUCGCAUAUCAAUAAGCGGAGGAAAAGAAACUAACAAGGAUUCCCCUAGUAACGGCGAGUGAAGCGGGAAGAGCUCAAAUUUGAAAUCUUAAAGGGUUUCCCUUUACGAAUUGUAGUUUAAAGAAGUGUUUUCUGUUGAGGUUUUGGUAAAAGUUCUUUGGAAUAGGACAUCAUAGAGGGUGAGAAUCCCGUAUUUGACCUUUACUUUCAACUUUGUGAUACACUUUCAAAGAGUCGGAUUGUUUGGGAAUGCAGUCCAAAAUGGGUGGUAAAUUUCAUCUAAAGCUAAAUAUUGGCGAGAGACCGAUAGCGAACAAGUACCGUGAGGGAAAGAUGAAAAGAACUUUGAAAAGAGAGUUAAACAGUACGUGAAAUUGUCAAAAGGGAAGCGUUUGACACCAGUGUUGUUUUUCUGAAAAUCAAUUAAAGAACUGUUUAUGCUAAGCUGUUUAGACUUUAUCAGCUAUCUGUUUAGUUUUGAGCUUUUCUUUAAUGCACUUUUCAGUUAACAAGUCAACAUCAAUUUCUUUUGCUGUAAAAAAGCUUGAGGAAGGUGGCUUGUGAUUCGUCUUAAGUGUUUAUAGCCUCUUGCCUAUGCAGUCGGAGAGAUUGAGGUCUGCAGCGUAGAUCCUUCGGGGCUAAAUGCAUUUGUGCCUAAGUUAUAGCAUUUUAUAGACAACUUGUUGACUAUGAUUUGUCUUGUAGCUUACUCGCUUAUGUUAUUUUACCUACGCUUAGGAUGUUGAGCGCAUGUCUCUCUCU
rnacentral:rRNA from 1 species